UGAGGAAUAUUGCGCAAUGGAGGCAACUCUGACGCAGCCAUGCCGCGUGCAGGAAGAAGGCGCUACGCGUUGUAAACUGCUUUUAACCGGGAAGAAACCCCAGGACGUGUCCUGGGUUGACGGUACCGGAGGAAUAAGCACCGGCUAACUUCGUGCCAGCAGCCGCGGUAAUACGAAGGGUGCAAGCGUUAUCCGGAUUCAUUGGGUUUAAAGGGUGCGUAGGUGGGGCGUUAAGUCAGUGGUGAAAGCCUACAGCUCAACUGUAGAAUUGCCAUUGAUACUGGCGCUCUUGAGUGCGCUUGAAGUAGGCGGAAUGUGCCGUGUAGCGGUGAAAUGCUUAGAUAUGGCACAGAACACCAAUUGCGAAGGCAGCUUACAAGGCAUACUGACACUGAGGCAGAA
rnacentral:rRNA from 1 species